rnacentral:lncRNA from 1 species
AGCAACGUACAUCAACAACACCAACUCCAAACAGCGUACAGCUUCAACAACGUUCAUUCUCAACCAGUCAACAACGGGUAUGAAUUUGAUUUUCAGUCCAUCGUUGGCAUAAAAUCAUAGGUCCCAUUUUCAAAUCUGAAACCCUAGACUUUUCCCCCCUUUAUUUUCCUCUAUAAAUAGGGUUUUGAGAGAUAAGGGUUGAGGAGGAGGAUUUUUGGGGAAAAAUUGGAGGUUUUAGAGCCGCGUUCUUCUAACCUCACGUAACCAAAAUUCUCAACGAAUACGCUUCAAAAAUUAGAUUCCGGUGAAGUUGUCGAACUCCAACAAGGAUAGUCGGAACUCCGGUGGUGAGAAUCCGUUAGAUUUAAGGCUUGUUGUCCUAGUUCCUUCCCCGGAAAAGGUAAAAAAUCACCAUCGAUCAUUUGAGUUACAUUAAGUGUAUGUGGUCAUUUGCCACUGUUUUGCCCUUUUAUUGUGCUUAUCGCUUCUCAAUUCUUAAAUAAUGAACUUCAGGAACAUUAGUGAAGUAAAAUCAUGCCAAAACUUCAGGUGUAAUAAUUUUUAUUUUUAUUUUUGGAUUUGUCUAGUCUUCCUGUUUGUGUAGUUUUUUUGGAUACUUUAGGCUAAAUUUCUUAAUGAAUCUCUCGUGAAGUAUUGUUUAAAGGAUCUGUUAGAAAUUCACUAAAGGAAAUUUGGAUUGAAGUUUGUAGCUUUGACACCUUAAGGGCUUCUAGAUAUCAUCUUAGUCAAUAGGGAUCCGAUUUUUGGUGUUAGAUCUCCUUAUUGUGGUAUUUCUUUUAAAUUCAAGUAUAUUUUUAGCUUGAUGGUGGAUUUGCUGUUGUAGCUCUAGGUCCAUUUUCUUAUUUUUGUUGAAUUAGGAUCAGUAAGACCUACCCUAAGAUACACCAAAAUCUUUUAUCUUUUACCCUUAUUGCUUUUUCUUUGUGAAACAUAAACUUCCGAAUAGGUUGUACUCUGUAAAUGUGUCACUGCUUUUAAAUAAGCAAUUUGAAGUUUGUCAGCGCUCCCAUCUCGAACAAUAGCAAGUGCUCUUGUUGUCAUGUAUUUUUUUUAUGUUUUUACGAAUAAGAUGUUGCAUAUAUCUGAUAUCUUUGUGGGAAAAAUUUGGGAGGAGGAACAUUCUCAAUCAAUCAUUUUCUGUUGAAGACAAAAGUGUGAUACUAUUUUGCUUUACUCCACUUGCUUACGUGAAAUCAUUAAAUCACUAGGUAUUUUUUUGAUCCCCUAGAAUCAUGCAUAUAUUUACUUAAAAUCCGACAGAUGUGCAUUUUGUUGUUCUUAGUUGCUCAUUAUGUUGCAUGUCUCCUUGUCUAUUAAAAAUGGAUUAAAUCAUGUUUGAAUUUGGGUCUCGGUUGGCUAUAGUUUACAUUCCCUUGUCCGCUGUGUUGUUAGAUUGUCCGCUGUGUUGUUAGAUUAAAAGCAUGGAGUCCAUGUAUACCAAGGGAUAUUCUUUUCUAUGGGUUGUGUUAUGUUAAGUUUGGAAUUUUGCUUGCAUUAUUUUCUUCCGUUAAAAUGAUUGGCCGAUGUGUGUUGUUACAUGUAUAUUUAGUUUGUGCACUUCACUAAUCCUUUUCUUUUUCUUUGCACGCUCCUUCGCCGAGUUCAAUGGACUCCCCUCUUGCAUUUUCAUCGAAUCCAACUCCACGCCAAGUCCCAAACGGACUGAUACAGUGCUGGUAUACAGCAGAUAUAGACCAGAUAUACAAAAACGCUGGAAGAAAAGGUGCUGAUAUACACACAAUAUACACUUCAGAAAAUGGACUGAAGUCCAUAAUUCCAAUCCCAAAAAUGGGCAGCUUUGUUGUUGGGCCAAUUAAAGGCCCAAUUUAAUUCUUGUAUUAUUUUUUAUAGGCAUAAUACAUAAAUAUGACUCUAAACUUGACACCAAAUUAUAAGUUUGAUCUGAAAUUUUGAUAGUGCACAAAUAGGACCUUUAACUAUUCAAAACCUAAACAAAUAUGAUCUCUGAUUUUGCAAUCCCAUGCGUGAGUUUUACUCGCGCCUAUGUGGAAAACUCAUCCAAUCACACGGUGUCACGUCGUUAAAAGGGCUGACUUGGAGAGGUUAUAUUUGUGCAGUUUUGAAUAGUUAAAGGUCAUAUUUAUGCAGUGUCAAAGUUUUGUUUUUUGUAUUAAAACGGUGUUUAUUAUUAUUAUUAUUAUUAUUAUUAUUAUUAUUAUUUAUUUAUUUAUUUUUAUAGAAGCAGUACUUAGUUUUUUUUUAUUAAAAAAAAAUCACUUGCAGGGAUCGAACCCGCGCAGUAGGCUAAAGGAAGCGCCUAAAAAGAGAAAAUAAUACCAUUGGGCUAUCUAAGUGUCUUGUUUCAUGUGGUUCAAUAUUAAUAUCCGUACAUAAAUAUAGAAUUUCUACUUUAUAUAUAUACAACGUAAUUUUUUUACUGAGGGGGUUCGGGUGAACCCCAUGGCAACCACGUAGAUUCGCCCCCUGCAUUAAUUUAAUAACGUUUUGAUAACGUUAAUUUAAUACUAACAUUUGAAUAACGUUAAUUUAAUAUACUACUACUACUAUCUUUAAUAAUGUUAAUUUAAUAACGUUUUAUUAAAAUUAUAAUUUUUUUUAUUAUUAGUAUAGUUUCAUCUUUAAUUUAAUAUUUAAAUAAAUUAUAUUUAGAUAUAUUAUAUAACAUAAAUUUGCCCUUUGCUUAAUAAUAUAUAUACAUACCCGCGCGAUUUUUUCAUAUGAGGCUGUACCACCUAAUUAAUAAAUCUUUAAUACUGUUCUUUUUCUGCAAUGAUAAAAGAAAUUAGAUCUCAUUUUCAUCUUAGAGUCGAAAAUAAUGAAAAAUAAUAGUAAAAAGUCACUUAAAGGUCAUAUUUGUGUAGUUUAGAAUAGCUAAAGGUCAUAUUUGUGCACUGUCAAAGUUUAAGGUCAAAGUUAUAAUUUGGUGUCAAGUUUAAGGUUAUAUUUAUGUAUUAUGUCCUUAGAUUUUAAGCUAGACGCGCCCAGUUUUGCGUGUUGAACAUGCGUUCUGCCACGUAGGAUCGGAGUUCAUAUUUGUACAGUUUUAACUAGUUAAAGAUCUUAUUUGUGCACUGUCAAAGUUUAAGGUCAAAGUUAUAAUUUAGUGUCAAGUUUAAGAUCAUAUUUAUGUAUUAUGCCUUUUUAAUAGCUUGUAUUGUUUGUUUGUGCUAACUAACAUUUGUAAAUUAAUUAAUCUAGGUAAAUUCCCUAAGAUGUUGUCAUUUUAUUUUUUCUUAGUCCCCUUUCAUUAACUCAUGAUUUUUUCACCUAAUAUUAUUUCGUAUAAAAAUGGUUAAAUUAUUUCCUUCAAUUUUCUUCUUACAACAAAUCGUUUAAAGAUUAAAUAUUUUUAAAUGACAUUUAUUUUGCUCAUGUGAUUAUUAGUUUAUUCAAAUUAAAUUAAUUUUCUUCAAACUCAAGAAACUAAUUUUUCUUGUAAAUUCUAACUUUCUAUAAUUAAUAAGAUACUUUUAAUGUGAUGCACUCUUAAUGUUUUUCUCGAAAAGUGUUAUUCGGACUUUCUAUGGUUUUAAUAGUAAUAAAAAUUAUACAAACUUCUUCUUUUUUCAUAACAAAGACAAAAAUUACUUUCUUAUUAAAGUCCCAAAGAAAUGACAACUUAGUUUAAUUUAAAUAAAGUGUUUUCUCAUUUGAAUAAAUAAAUGUCAUUUUUAAAUGUUUAAAUAAACAUCAAGUUUAAUAUUUUCUAUAAAAUUAAGUCUAUGCAAAAACUAGCCACUUUAAUUAGUCAAGUUAGUUUCUUUUUGGUAAAUUGUUUUAAACGAAUGCUCCUAAGUGUCUUAAAAACCUUCUUAGGACGUUAAUUGAACCCUUACCCAAAAUCUCUAGUUUUAAAGGUUUAUUUCUGUUUUUGAACCGUUGAAACUCUUUUAAAUUUUUCCUUGAUUUUUUCUCUAAAAAUCAAGUGGCGACUCUGUAAAUUUUCUUAAAAUUAUUUUAAAAUUUUCUCAACUUUUUCUUGAAAUAGUUUUAAGAUCAAAAUUAUUUUCCUCGCCAAAUGAAAUUCGAAAGGGAUAAAACAAAAAUAGCGACUUUGCUAGGGAAUUAACUAGGUUCUAACCAAAUAUUUGAUUUCAUCUUUUGAUUAACUCUUUACUCGUUUACGUGUUUAUAUGUUUCGAUUUUGUGGAAUUUAAUUAUUGUAUCUCAUAGCAUAAUCCCGCAUUGAUUUAUUAAAUUAUUUUUAGGUUUCAUGGAUGUCCCGACCCUUAUUGUUCAACUCCAAAUAAAGUGUUGAAAAUACGAUGGUUUAUUAGCACGUGAGGCGUCUGAUGGUUAUUCAUAUUUCCAAACUCAAGUCGUCCGCUUAGGAACCUGGUUCAAACCCACUCUAGACACCUAGGAUAGAGCGAAACCAAAAUCUUAUUUUAGGCAUGAGCCUAGGAUGACCUAAUACUUGAGGGAGUAAUGGGCCCACUAGAAAUCUAGCCCUGCUUCUAUUGACCCCGAGUCAAUUAAAGACGAAUCAUAUUUAUGUGUUGAAUUAAUUUAUCGAAAUCUCAAUUUGAUAUUUAACACUGGGCCUUUGGCUUGAAAGGUUCCACGUAUGCUAGGACGCGUAAUAAUUGUUUAUGUGCUAAAGUGUUUUAUUGUUUUGCUUUGUCUAUGUUUGCUUAUCUGUGUGUUUAAAGAAUACACAUUUGGCUUGAAAUAAGACUAGUUCAUUAUUCCUAUUUCGAAAUCCUAGAGCGCUAAUAGGCAUAUAAGACUCAAAAUUUGAACCCUCCAAAACACCCUUGGAAGUUCGUUGAUAAAAUUCCUUCCAAUUUACCUAAUUUUGUUCAAAUUUCAUUAGGCCAUUAUCUGAUUCACAUUUAUCAUGUUGUCCUCACAACUCAUUUUUUUCGCAUUUGAUUGUAGUCAGAGCUAUCCAAGCAUUCUGUUGAUGAAAAACUAUGAUGUCUUCAAAGAUUUUUAAAUAAGCCUUCUUAGGAUGUUUAUCUGUUAAUAUUCGAUUUUUCAAAUCACUUAGUUCAUCUUGUUCGAAGUUCUAAUUUUUUCCAUCAAAUUCAAGAUCCGCCAAAUGAUCGAAGUUCUGAUCAUUCAGCCACUUUCUUAAGUGUCCUAUCUUCAAAUUCUGGACUUAGUUUGUUUCAAGUCAAAUAUAUAUCAUUUGUUUCGUAUAUUACUUUGGUCAAUCAUCACGAUCAUGAACUAACUCUUUACUUUUUAAGUGUUUUUCUUUCCUUUUAGAGAGAAGGUGAUUUAUGUUGGUAGUCAAAACUUGCUCGCUUCACAACGACAAAGUAAUCGCUGGCAGAACAUCAGUAUUUCACGUUGUCUAAGGUCAAGAAGGCAACUAUAGAUUCAUCAGUUCUUGCUUGGGCUAACAGAAGGACUCGUUCAACUGUGGAUCCUAGUUUGAUUAACACAAGUACUUCAUCUGAGUCAGUUCCCACUUUUUUUGUGGCGAUGAACCCAAGUGCCUUGAUAGGAAGGGAAAUAACCCCAGAACUCGUUGCCGGUUUGGAGCAACAAAUUUCUAAGCUAAGGCCCAUGGUGAUGCAAAGUAGAACACCUUCUCAGACUCUUCCAAACAUGACUCUGCCUCCUGAUGUUCGACAAAAAGGACCUAUGUUUCCAACGCCAAAAGGAGUUGAUCAGGCAAGUUAUUUUGCUCAUGUUUCUUAGAAUGCCCCUUCUGGGUACACAUUUGAUCCUCCAAAGGUUCAAAACAUACCCUUGCCACACCAUGCUAUGUUGCUUCUCCACCUGUGACACAAACUCCAGGAUUAUACUGCUUAGAUGCUAAUCAUUAUGUUGAAACAGGGAAUAAUCCGAGAAUAUACACUGAUGAGACGGUGAACGUAAAGCUUAAGGUCUUGGAAGAUGCAAUGAGAAGCCUUCGGGGGCCUGGGAAUAAUCAAAGUGUCAAGUAUGAAGAGUUGUGUGCAUUUCCCGAGAUCGAGUUGCCUCCUGGUUAUAAGAUCCCAAAGUUUGAAAAGUUUGACAGGUCUGAAAAUCCUUUUUUCCACUUGAGAACUUAUUGUGAAAAGUUGAUUGGUGUGGGCAAGAAUAAAGGAAUACGGGUCAAGCUAUUUAGUCAAAGCUUGAGUGGGAAGGCUCUGGAAUGGUAUGCCAAGCAAGAUGUGACUAAGUGGCGCACUUAGGAUGACCUGGCAAAUUUUUUUGUGGAUCACUACAAGUUUCAUGUUGAUAUCAUUCCUGAUAGGAUCCCUAUCACAAAGCUAAGACAAAGAUCAAAUGAAAAUUUUCGUGAAUAUGCCAUACGCUGGAGGGAAGAAGCAACCAGGGUACAUCCUCCUAUGAAAGAAGCUGAAAUGAUCAGUUACUUCAUCCAUGCGCUGAAUCUAGAAUAUUUUGAUCGCAUGAUAACAAUGGCUGGAAAAAAUUUAUUGAAAUUGUCAAGACUGGAGAAAUGAUUGAGGAUGGCCUCAAGACAGGAAAAAUAAUAAACUUGACAGAACUGUAAUCCACUCACAAAAGCUUCCAGACUGGCUCUUUUGGAAAUGGAAAGAAAAAAAGAAGGAAGUAAUGGGAGUGAUGACUCAAGAGAAAUUGUAACACCCCGAUUUGAUGAACCGGAAUGCUACGCGAUGCUCAUGACCCUGUAGGACCACAAGCUAACCCAUGACUGAUAUCCGUACCUAUAUACUGCAAAAUAUAACAUAAUAAUGUGAAAACAUGCACUAAAAGGCCAUAAGGUUUAAUACUGAACAUAACAUAGAUGAGAUAACAUCUGUGGAGUAAUACAAUACCCAAAACAAAACUAUAAACACUGAAGUCUGAAACAAAAUAGCCUGCAUCUAGUCUGAAAGCCUCUACUGUCUGAAUAAUCUGAAUAAGGAGUUGAUGGUACAUGUCCUCAACUAACUCCAACUAAUAACUAAUCAAUGAAAUAGUGAAGAAAUAAUCAUGUCCUCGAAGGAUGAGGACUCAUUUCUAUUCUGACUGCUGGGACUAGAAUCUACUUCUGAUCUGAAACUCAUAUCUCUAAACCUAUGGUAUAAGACGCCAUAGCGCAAAUGCGUCAGUACUUUGAAUGUAUUGGUAUGCAUGUGGGGUAGGUUGAAUGCAUAGGUUCAUAUGCAUGAACAAUAUUGGCUAACUGACUAACAUGAACGUGAGAAUACAUGCAUGCAUAUAUAGUAACUAUAUAUGAAAUCAUGAUAACAUGAAUACUGAAUCUGAAUACUGAUAACAUGACAUACUGAUAAUUGAUAUAACUGAUAACAUGAGUGACUGUAUCUGACAACCUUGAAUUCUGAAGAACUAUCUGAGUUCUUUUACUGAGACUGAUACUGAGACUGUGGGAGGUAGUCAUCUAAUCGACAUACCCCAAAUGAUGCAUUAUAGCAUUAUAGCUGAAUUGGGGUCCAAUCUAUGCCCUAAUUAGAAGGGUGUCAAUACUGCGCCACUGGUAAGGACAAUAUGUAAGUGACCCUAAUAUAACAGAUAACUCUAGUGAGAACUGUGGGAACCCUCAUAUAGCAGGCUAAGCCACCUCAUCUAUCCUCAUAUAGCUGGCUAUGAUGUCUCAACCAAUGCUAGCUACAUAGUUCUGGAACGUAAGGAUUGCUUCUAAGAAUUACCCCCUCAUAUAAUAGGUGAGUUCCCAUCCUUGGGUUUACUCGGUGCUAAUUUCUACCCCCAUCUGAAUAGACACUGAACAUAAUUUACUAAACUGAUCAUGGACUGAGUUACUGAAUUCCGUUGACUGACAGAAUAUUACUGAUAUCUAACAAUUGACUGAGUUCAUGAGAUCAUAGAUAUUUCCUGAGUCAUAAGACUGUCUGAAGUCUAAGGAUUCAUAGCUUUACUGAUAGUAUCAUGGAAACAUGACAUGGCUCUAACCACACAGCUAAUGUUUCUGGUACAAGUACCCCCAAGACUCGAUGGAGGGAAACUAACCAAGCAUAAGUUACUUGAACAUAUAACUAACAUCAUAAUCCAUAAUACAUUUAUAGAAGCAUUCCAUCAAAACAUGUGAUAGGCAUAACUUGUCCAUACAUGGGGAUUUCAUGAUAUUAUACUAGUUUGGCAUUGUUCCUUCAUCUAGGCAUUUAAUCAAACACAUGGUAAGCAUAGCACAAGUAGACAACAUUAUACAAUAAUUAAUCAUCAUGAUUCAUCUCUAAUUUCAUCAUCUUAGGAUUUAUUCAUAAGUUCACAUGAAUAUACAUCUAUACAAAUCAAUUCCACAUAAAAUUGAUCACCCAACAUGGAUUUGAAUUCAAUUGAUCAUUCUCAACAUAAACAAAAAUAACUCAACAUGAAAUUCAUAAAAAAAUCCAUAAACUUAAUCUUAGAAAAGAGAUUCUUGGGCUUCAUAGAUGAAAGGAGUUCAUGAAUGAACACUACGUAUACCUUAGUUUGUGAUUUCGUAAAGAUUGACGGAGAAACUUUCUUGGAAUUGGAUCUUCUAUGAAAAACCUAGCUUGUUAUUGAGAGGUUUUUGAGAGAAGAGAGUGUAUUUUAGGUGAAGAGUGGUUGAAUCACAUCUUAAAGGGCUUAAAUAGGGGUGGAAAGUUGACCUUUUUAACCCUGGACGCAUUAUUUAAUUUCAGUAAAAUUUUCCUGAACUGAACCCCGAGCGCGACGCGGCACUAUCGCGUUGUCUCACUAGAAUUUGAUAAUUGGGAAACUGAGGGAUGGAAAGACGCAGAGCCAUCGCGUUUCCUCUUCUUUUGUGACCUGAAACUUUAGCGCGACAUGGAGGAAAUCGCGCUAAGACACUGGAAAAGGACAAUUCUAAAUUUGGGCCCUGGCAUGACGCGCCAUAAUCGCUGACCCAUACUGGAAUUUUCCAAAUGCCACUUCCUCUUGUGGCGCGGUGCGCCAUUGACUAAUAUGGCAUUGUUUUAUGACGGAAACAUAAACUAGUCGUAACUUCUGACUCGAUUAUCGAAUUUGGGAGAAUCUUAUAUCGAUGGAAAGCUUAUUGAAUUUCCCACAUGACAAAAAGUUAAAAUCUUGAAAAUUCCUCAUGGAAUAACCAUCAUUCAAUUUAGAAGCUAAUACUAGACAUUCUUGAGAUGAAAUUUGGUAGAAAAAGUACGGGGUAUUACAAUAUCUCCCCUUUGAUAACAUUCAUUCUCGAAUGAGACUGACCGACAGGGGAGAAAAGACGAUUGACGUACAUACUGAACAUGAAUGACUGGAACAUGAUCUCAUGACUGACAUGACUGACAAGCUGAACAUAUAAUACUGAACAUGUAUAUCUGAUGCAUGUGUAACUGAUUCAUGAAUGCAUGACUGAGUAUGCAAUAGUACUUGAUACCAAGUUUAUAAUGGGAACAUGAGCAUGAAAUUGCAUACCAAGUUUGUGAUGAACACUGAACAUGAAACUGAGUAAGCUUAAGGAGAAUUUUUACCUUGAGCUUGAUCUGAGUUAUCAAAGAAGAGGUGAGGAUACUUGGUACGUAUGUAUGUUUCUGCUUCCCAAGUAGCUCCCUCGACGGACUGAUUUUGGCAAAGAACUUUAACUAGAAGGACUUCUUUGUUCCUCAAUCUACGAGUCUAAUAGUCUAAGAUUUUGACUGGAAUCUCCUCAUAAGAAAAAGUGCUCUGAACAUCAAUGCUCUGAAUAGGGACUACAACUGAUGGGUCACCUAUACACUUCUUGAGCAAAGAGACAUAAAAGACUGGAUGAACUGAGGCUAGAUCUGAAGGCAAAUCGAGCUCAUAAGCUACCUUGCUGAAUCGACUGAGAGCUUGAAGGGACCAACGUCUCGGGGACUGAGCUUUCCCUUCUUGCCAAAUCUCUUCACUCUUUUCAUGGGAGAGAUCUUUAGAUAGACAUAGUCACCAAUAUCAAACUCGAUAUCUUUUCUACGAACAUCUGCAUAAGACUUCUGUCGGCUAUGAGCAGCCCGAAGUCUUUCUCUGAUCAACUGGACUUUUUCUAAGGCAUCGAAUACUAAGUCAGGCUCUAUGACUAAGGCCUCACUAACAUCAAACCAACCAAUUGGAGAUCUACAUCUCCUACCAUAGAGAGCUUCGAAUAGAGCUAUCCGAAUAAUGGGAUGAUAGCUGUUGUUGUAUGCAAACUCAAUCAAAGGUAAGUGGUCAUCCCAACUUCCCUUGAAAUUGAUUGCACACACCCUUAGCAUAUCUUCUAACGCCUGAAUGGUCCUUUCUGCUUGACCAUGUGUUUGAGGAUUAAAGGUUAUACUGAGAUGAACUUGGGUACCAAGACCUUUUUGGAAUGCUUUCUAGAAAUAAGAGGUGAACUGGGUACCUCUGUCUGAGAUAAUAGAUAGCGGAACACUGUGCAAUCUAACCAACUUCUUGAUAUAGAGUUUGGAAUAAUCCUCGAUUGAAUAAGAGGUAUGAACUCGAAGAAAAUAAGCUGAUUUGGUCAUUCUGUCUACAAUGGCCCAGUCUGAAUCAUGUGGAAAAUGAGUUUGAGGCAAGCCCAUCACGAAGUCUAUGUUCACAACUUCCCACUUCCAAGUAGGAAUACUUAAAUCCGGCAUGGAUCCACUAGGCUUCUGAUGCUUUAUCUUAACUUGCUAACAUGUAGAGCAUUUAGCCACAAACUCAGCAAUAUCUCUCUUCAUCCCACUCCACCAAUAGAUUUCCCAUAAGUCGCGAUACAUCUUUGUGGCCCCUGGAUGAAUAGAGUAGCGCGCACCAUGCACUUCUGUAAGAAUUCGCUGCCUUAAGUCGUCUACACCUAGAACACAGAGACGACCCUGACAACGUAAAACACUAUCUCCUCCUUAGGAGAAAACAUCUACUUUCUGAUCCUGAACUGACUUUUUCAACUUGACAAGGCUGGGAUCUCUAUCUUGCUUUUCUUUCACCUCAGAAACUAGAGAUGAUUCUGAACUACUCUAAACCCAUAUAUCACCCUCAUCUGUAUCGACUAAGUGGACGCCUAGUCAGGCAAGAUGAUGGACUUCCUAAGCUAACUUCUUCUUACUGUCCUCAACACGAGAAACACUACCCAUGGAUAGUCUACUGAGAGCGUCGGCCACUAUAUUGGCCUUGCCAAGAUGAUAGAGGACACUCAUGUCAUAAUAUUUCAAGAGCUCUAACCACUUUUUCUGAAGAAGAUUGAGAUCUUUCUGAGAAAAGACAGACUGAAGACUCUUAUGAUCUAUGAACACAUCUACAUGAAAAAAUUCAUACUGAAGACUUAUGAUCUGUGAACACAUCUACAUGAACACCAUAUAUAUAAUGCCUCCAAAUAUUUAAGGUAAAUACUAUGGCUGCUAACUCAAGAUCAUAAGUAGGGCAAUUCUUCUAUGGGGCUUAUGCUGUCUGGAGGCAUAGGCUAUGAUCUUACCAUGCUGCAUGAGGACACAACCCAAACCUACUAUGGAUGCAUCACAAUACACUACGAACCCAUUUGGACCAUCUGGUAGAGCUAAAACUGGAGCUGAGGUGAGUCGAGUCUUCAACUCCUAAAAACACUUCUCGCAAGGAUCUGACCACUGAAACUUAACUUUCUUCCGAGUCAAUUUGGACAUAGGGGAUGCAAUAGAAGAAAAUCCCUCAACAAACCAUCUGUAAUAGCUAUCCAAAUCCAAGAAACUCCUAAUAUCUGAUGGAGAGAUAGGUUUGGGCCAAUUUCUUACUGCUUCGAUCUUCUAAGGAUCAACUCUAACGCCAUCACCAAAAAUGAUAUGACCAAGGAAUGCUAUUGACCUUAGCCAAAAUUUGCACUUAUUGAAUUUGGUGAAUAGCUGAUGAUCUCUGAGAGUCUGAAAUACUGUCCUAAGAUGGUCUGCAUAAUUAUACUCACUGCGGGAAAGACCAGAAUAUCUAUGAAGACGAUGAUGAAUAUGUCCAAGUACUGCUUGAACACACGGUUCAUCAAGUCCAUGAAAGCGGCUGGGGCGUUGGUAAGACCAAAUGACAUGACUAGAAAUUUGAAGUGACCAUACCGAGUUUGAAAAGCUAUUUUUGGAAUUUCACAUUGCCUAACUCUGAGAUGAUGAUAGCCGGAUCCGAGAUCUAUCUUAGAAAAAUAAUUGGCACCCUGAAGUAGGUCAAACAAGUCAUCGAUUCUGGGAAGAGGAUACUUGUUCUUGACCGUGACCUUAUUGAGUUAGCUGUAGUCUAUACACAUUCUGAGAGAACUGUCUUUCUUGCGCACGAAUAAUACUAGAACACCCCACGGGGAAACCCUGAGCCUUCUGAAUCCCUUAUCUAAGAGAUCUUUCAAUUGUUCUUUUAGUUCUCAUAGUUCUGUUGGUACCAUUCUAUAUGGCGAAAUAGAGUAGGCUGAGUAUUUGGAAGAAGAUCAAUACCGAAGUCUAUUUCCCUUUCAGGAGGAAUUCCUAGAAGAUUUUUGGGAAAUACAUCUGAAUAUUCAUUCACUACUGGGACUGAUUCAAGUUUGGAAGUUUCGGAACUAGUGUCCUUAACUCGAACAAGAUGAUAGACACAUCCAUUAGAUAUCAUUUUUCUUGCUCGAAGGUAGGAAACAAGCUGACCCCUGAAAGCGGAUACACUACCCUUCCACUUAAGGAUGGGUUCAUUUGGGAACUGAAACUAGACUAUUCUAUUUCUGCAAUNNNNNNNNNNNNNNNNNNNNNNNNNNNNAUCUAGGUCAAAAAUAACGUCAAAAUCAAUCAUCUCUAAUUCGACUAAGUCUGCUGAAGUGACUCUGAAAUAUCAUAAUCGGGCAGUUCCUGUAUACCCGUCGAGCUUUAAUGGUUUUACCCACUAGGGUAGAGACUAAAAAGGGCUCUGCUAGGAUUUCGGGACUGAUUUCGAAAUCGCUUGCUAUAUAGGGAGUAACAAAAGAUAAAGAAGCUCCUGGAUCUAGCAAAGCGUAAACAUGCAUAUAAAAGAUCUGUAACAUACCAGUAACUACAUCAGGAGAAUUUUUCUGAUCUUUUCAAGACUGAAGAGCAUAGAAACGAUUUGGGUGUUGCCUACUAGUAGCACUGGAGGUGGCACCCUGCUGAUUUGGGCGACCGAACUAAGCUGAGAAGAGAUUCUAUUGGCCCUGAGGACCUGGCUGAGGGCAGUCUCUGACUCUGUGGCUUGGCUUGCCACAUCCAAAACAAAUACCACAGCCAGCUCUGCAAAUACCCUAAUGGUAUUUGCCACAAGUCUGGCAAAGAGGAUAGGUGCAGGCACUACUAACACUGCCUUGGGACUUAGAGCCUGGCACUCUUUCAUUGUUACCUUCUCUAAACUUAAGAACUGGAGCACUGGCUGAAGAAGGAGCUGGAACUGAUAACUUAGGAUGAAACUGAGAACAGUUUCCUCCUUCUAACUUAGGUUGAGCGAAGUUGAAACUACAUGUCUUCGCUCUCUUAUUCUGCUUUUCCCUCAUCUUAAUCUUUUGCUCCUCAAUCUGCUGAGCAUGAGUCAUAAUCCUGGCUAAAGUCAUGUCACUAUUCAGCAUGACAGAUCUGCACUCAUUAACCACGCUAUCAUUCACCCCUAAAACGAACUUACUCAUCCUUGCCCUGCUAUCUGCAACCACAUGAGGGGCAUAUCUGGCUAAUUGAGUAAACUUAGGAGAAUACUCUUUCACUGUCAUAUUGCCCUGCCUGAGGUUGAUGAAUUCUAACACCUUAGUUUCCCUAAGCUCUUGGAGGAAUAAUCUAUCCAGGAAAGUAGAAGUAAACUCCUCCCACUCAACUGGCCCUGCAUCAUCUGCCCUCUCUGACUUCCACUACUUGAACCAAGUAUGAGCAACAUCCUGUAACUGAUAUGCAGCUAGCUCAGUACUCUCAACAAUAGUCACCCCCAUGAUGUUUGUUACCUUCUGCACCUGAUCUAGGAAUUCCUAAGGGUCCUCAUCUGUCUUAGACCCGAGAAAAGAUGGAGGAUUCAUUCGAGUGAAAUCCUAAAUCCUAGCUGUAGCUGAAUUGGCCACUGGAUUGGUCGGAACGACAGCUGGUCAUUCAUUCUGAGAAACAACUGAGUUAGCAAGAGUAGUGUCGAAACUCUGUAUGAGAAACAUGAUCGCCAAAAGGAUCUUCGAGUUGGGGGCCUGACUGAUUUUAGUUUCUUCUUUUAGGAGGCAUAUUCUGUAGAUGAAAGGGAGAAAUAGAUUAGACUGAGAGAUGACUUGAGAUUAUGCUCACUGGCACGACAUGAAUACUGAAAGAGGGGAAGCUGUUCCUAAAACAUAUUAUAGCCUCUUGUACAUAAAUAUGGCGCGCAACACACCCAUGUAUAAGACUCUACUAUAUGCGGCUUUCUGACUUCCUAGGACUCUAUUGAACCUUAGGCUUUGAUACCAAGUUUGUAACACCCCGAUUUGUUGAACUGGAAUGCUACAUAGUGCUCAUGACCCUGUAGGACCACAAGCUAAUCCAUGACUAAUAUUCGUAUCUAUAUACUAUAUAAUAUAACAUAAUAAUGCGAAAACAUGCACUAAAAGGUGUAAGGCCACGUAAAGUUCCCUCAUAGUUUGAGUCGUAGGGCGUGUCGAGUGAGGCGUGAUUUUAACCCUAAAAUAUUGAGAAGUUGCUUCCUAAGUGAGUAACGUGUUAACUAUAUAGAAUUUCCCUAAUUUCUACUUUUUAUCAUAUGGGAAAUCUGAUAAGCUUUCCAUCGAUAUAAGAUUUUCCCAAAUCCAACACUCAGGUAAGAAGUUAUGGCUAAUUUAAGCCUUAGUCAUAAAACUGCAUCAUUUAACUGUCUGGCGCAUCGCGAAGAGGGCUGAUUUGGAAAUUGCCAAUUUCUAAUGGAACCCCAUGAUAGUGGCGCGUCGCGGAGGAGUCCCAGGUCCCAACCAGUGGGAAAAUACGAUGGCUCCACAUCGCGGAGGCUGUCAAUUUCCCAAUUGUCAAAUUCCAGUGAGCCACCGUGAUAAGUGGCGCAUCGCGGAGGCCAAUGAAAUCGGGUUCCAUCUCAAUUUUUCCAGUUUUGCACUGAUGUUUAAAAGGGCACUUUGGACAUUUUCCAAGCCUAUAAAAUCGUGGAAACACUAAAUCAAAGUCAUUUACAAGCAUCUUAUGAGGUUUUUCUCAAGUUCUCUCUCAACAUAAACCCUAAGUAUCCAAAAACUCUUCCAAGAAUCUCAAGAAUCCACCAUGGAUUUCCUAAAUUAAGUCAAGAUUCAAGGUUCCCAAGUCAGGGACCUCAAGAACCCUCAUUCUAGAGCACGAAUAGAGUUGCAAAAGUGAGAGUUCAUCAAAAUUUUCUAAUUCAAGGUAUGUGGGGGUUUUGAACAAGGGUAACCCUUUCACCCUUGUCUCCAAAAGGCUAUUUACAUCAUGAAAUUCUUGAAAUAUAUGAGGUUGUUACAUGAAUUUGAAUUGGGUUUUUAUUGAAUACAUUAUAUUGAUAUUUCCCGUGAAUUAAGAGUCAAAUCGCAUAAUUUCUACAUGUUUUCUUAAGUAUUUACAGCUGGGUAUAAACCCCAUGAUUUUACUCCUUGAUAAGCUAACAUUUGCAUUGUUGAGAUAUUGAAGCAUAUGGCUAUAUUGAAAUUUUGGGGUAACUUGCUGAAAUUCCCAGAUUUCCACAUGAUUUAUGAAUCUAUGUGCUAUAUAUUAUACUUUGGAUAAGCUUUAACUUGAGAUUGAAUAAUGGGUUAGUAAGCCCUAUUUGAGACUUGGGUUAGUAAGCCCUAUUUGAUACUUGUGAAAUUAUGAACUCUUGUGCUAUGAGCACCCAUGUUUUGAGUAUUUUGAGAUGAUUGAGAAAUAAAUUGACCUAAUGCUCCUUGUGCUUUGAAAUCCACUUCACUAUAUGAGAUUAUCAAUUUGAUUAUUGGGUUCAUGGUGAACCAUGUAAUUAUUCUAAAAGUGGAUUUUUUUAGAUGAGCACAGAUAAUCUAAAGGGAGUAGUAUUUAGCACCGAGUGGGUAAGUUACUACAGUUUCUUACCCCAAAACUACGUGCCACCGUAGGUUGGGCCUGAGGCCAAGUUUAUGAUGAUUAUGAUUAGGCCUGAGUCGAGUUUUAUUUAGUGAUCACUAGACCUAGGUUAUACUCCCUGGCAAAAGUAUGANNNNNNNNNNNNNNNNNNNNNNNNNNNNNNNNNNNNNNUUGGACUCCAUGUAGCUCGCAUGGUUUAUGUCGGUUACGAGAACCUCCCUUGACAUUUAGACUUCAAGAUCAAAUACUUAUUUUCCUUCCCUAUAAGUUAUUUUCCUAAAUGGUUGAAUUGCAAAGAUGUUUCCCCAACUAAAGUAUUUUCUUGAUGUGAGUUAUUUCCUAAAUGAAAGCAUCUUUCCUUUUAUAGUACUUUUUAUAAAGCCUUGAGAUAAGUUGUUUCCAUAAAUUAGAAUGCCUUUUCCAUUUGAGAUGGAGUGAUUUCCCUAAAGCUUGAAAUGAGAUAUUUUCCUAAAGUGAAUAAAAUACCUUCAAGUAUGUUUCCAAGUUAUAUGAUUCCAAAUUUCAAGUAUAUGAGUUCUAAAUAGUUAUGAAAUGUUGAGCAUUGAAGAAGUUUUACCCUCCAUGAGACUUAUGCAUGAGUUGAAAGUAUUGUUUAAAGUCCCUUAGCCUUUGGGUAUUAAGAACAAGAGAAGAUUUUGAAUUUUUGGGAUUAAACAAUGAUGACUCACGAGAUUUGUGCUACAUACUCCAUUCUACAUGACUUGUGAGCUUUAUAUUUUGUACUUGUUCAAUCCAUGUGAGUCGUCUCAUAAUGCAUACAUGAUUUGAUUAAAGAAGAUUGUUACUAUUUUAUUCAUAUGCAUUCACCCCCGCAUACUCAGUACAUUCCAAGUAUUGAUCCACAUAUAUGUCUAUGUGCUACAUUGUGUCAUAAUGUAGGUUCGGUGCUUAGUCCCAGCCUCGCUCAUGAUUCUUCGAGUACCUUGCCUACGUUUUCUAUAGUGGUGAGUCGUUAUGAUUCAUGGACCGAUCUUCAGAUAUUUACCGUACUUGAGAGACUACCGUACUUGAGACUAUGUUUUAUCUUCAAUUCAUUUCAAGUCAGUUGAGGACCUAUCCCAACGGCUCUCUAGAUUUUGAUUUGUAGAUGCUUGCCAGACUAGUGUCAGACUUGUGAUGUGUUGAGGGUUUGAUAUUAUGGUUUUGUUGAGAUUUCUCUAUAUUGUGGUCUAAUGGACCAGGUAUUUUUUCCAUAUUUCCUUUCAUGAGAUAUGACUAUGCUAGUGUUGAGUCCAUUCUUAUCUUAAAUUGAGUGUCAUUGGUGGAAAUCGGCUCUAAGGGUUAGCUUGGGGCUACUCGUAGCCUUAGGCAUCGUAUGACAUCCCGGGAGAUGAUUUUGGGUCGUUACAAAAGCCUAUAAGGUUCAAUACUGAACAUAACAUGGAUGAGAUAACAUCUGUGGGGUAAUACAAUACCCAAAACAAAACUGUAAAGACUGAAAUCUGAAAUAUAAUAGCCUACAUCUAGUCUGAAAGACUCUACUGUCAGAAUAAUCUGAAUAAGGAGUUGAUAGGACAUGUCCCCAACUAAAUCUAACUAAUAACUAAUCAAUGAAAUAGUGGAGAAAUAAUCAUGUCCUCGAAGGAUGAGGACUCACUUCUAUUCUGACUGCUGGGACUGGAAUCUACUGCUGAUCUAGAACUCGUAUCUCUAAACCAAUGGUAUAAGACACCAUAGCACAAAUGCGUCAGUACUUUGGAAGUACUGGUAUGCAUAUGGGGUAGGCUGAAUGCAUGGGAUUCAUAUUCAUGAAUGAUACUGGCCAACUGACUAAUAUGAACAUGAGAAUACAUGCAUGCAUACAUAGUAACUAUAUCUGAAAUCAUGAUAACAUGAGUACUGAAUCUGAAUACUGAUAACAUGACAUACUGAUAACUGAUAACAUGAGUGACUAUAUCUGACAGUCCUAAAUCUGGUGGAACUAUCUGAGUUUCAUACUAUGUCUGAGUUGACUAUAUCUGACAGCCCUGAAUUCUGAAGAACUAUCCAAGUUCUUUUACUGAGACUGUGGGAGGUAGUCAUCUAACCGACAUGCCCCAAAUAAUGCAUUAUAGCUGAAUUGGGGUCUAAUCUAUGCCCUGAUUGGAAGGGUGUCAAUACCAUGCCACUUGUAAGGACAACAUAUGAGUUACCCUAAUAUAACACGUAACUCUAGUGAGAAUGGUGGGAACCCUCAUAUAGAAGGCUAAGCCACCUCAUCUACCCUCAUAUAGCAGGCUAUUAUGUCUCAACCUAUGCUGGCUACAUAGUUCUGGAACGCAAGGAUUGCUUCUAAGAAUCACACCCUCAUAUAACAGGUGAAUUCCCGUCCUUGGGUUCACUCGGUGCUAAUUUCUUCUCCCAUCUGAAUAGACACUGAACAUAAUUUACUGAACUGAACAUGGAUUGAGUUACUGAAUUCUGUUGACUGAUGGAAUAUUACAGAUAUCUGACAACUGACUGAGUUCAUGAGAUCAUGGAGAUUUCCUGAGUCAUAAGACUGUCUAAAGUCUAAGGAUUCAUAGUGACUGAGAGUAUCGUGGAAACAUGACAUGGCUCUAAGCACACUGCUAAUGUUUCGGGUACAAAUACCCCCAAGACUCGAUGGAAGGAAACUGACCAAGCAUAAGUUACUUGAACAUAUAACUAACAUCAUAAUCCAUAAUACAUUUAUAGAAGCAUUCCAUCAAAACAUGUGAUAGGCAUAACUUGUACAUACAUGGGGAUUUUAUGAUAUCAUACUAGUUGGGCAAUGUUCCUUCAUCUAGGCAUUUAAUCAAACACAUGGUAGGCAUAGCACAUGUAGACAAUAUUAUACAAUAAUUAAUCAUCAUGAUUCAUCUUUAAUUUUAUUAUCCUAGGGUUUAUUCAUAGGUUCUCACGAAUAUACAUCUAUACAAAUCAAUUCCACAUAAAAUUGAUCACCCAACAUGGAUUUGAAUUCAAUUGAUCAUUCUCAACAUAAACAAAACUAACCCAACAUGAAAUUCAUAAAGAAAUCAAUAAACUUAAACUUAGAAAAGAGAACCUUAGGCUUCAUAGAUGAAAGGAGUCCAGGAAUGAACACUAUGCAUACCUUAGUUCGUGAUUUCAUAAAGAUUGAUGGAGAAACUUUCUUGGAAUUAGAUAUUUUAUGAAAACCCUAGCUUGUUCUUGAGAUGUUUUUGAGAGAAGAGAGUGUAUUUUGGGUAAAGAGUGGCCAAAUCACAUUUUAAAGGGCUUAAAUAGGGGUGGAAAGUUGACCUUUUUAACCCUGGACGCAUCAUUUAAUUUCAAUAAAAUUUUCCCGAACUAAACCCCUGGCGCAACGCGGUGCUGUCGCACUGUGUCACUAGAAUUUGACAAUUGGGAAAUUGAAGGAUGGUGCGAAAUGGAGCAAUCGCGUUGCCCCUUCUUUUAUAAUCUGGAACUUUGGCGCGGCGCGGAGGAAAUCGCGCUAAGACACUAGAAAAGGACAAUUCUAAAUUUUGGCCCUGGUGCAACGCGCCAUAAUUGCUGACCUAUACUGAAAUUUUCCAAAUGUCAUUUCCUCUUGUGGCGCGACGCGCCACUGACUAAUAUGGCAUUAUUUUACAAUAGGAACUUAAAAUAGUCGUAACUUCUGAUUCAGUUAUCGAAUUUGGGAGAAUCAUAUAUCGAUGGGAAGCUUAUUGAAUUUCCCACUUGACAAAAAAUAAAAAUCUUGAAAAUUCCUCAUGGAAUAACCAUCAUUCAAUUUAGAAGCUAAUACUGGACAUUCUUGAGAUGAAAUUUUCUAGGAAAAGUAUGGGGUAUUACAACAUCUCCCCCUUGAGAACAUUCAUCCUAGAAUGAGAUUGACUGAGAGGGGUGAAAAGGCAACUGACGUACAUACUGAACAUGAAUAACUGGAACAUGAUCUCAUAACUGACAUUACUGAUAAGAUGAACAUAUAAUACUAAACAUGCAUAUCUGAUGCAUUUGUAACUGAUUCAUGAAUGUAUGACUAAGUAUGCAAUGGUACUUGAUACCAAGUUUAUAAUGGGAGCAUGAGCAUAAAACUGCAUACUAAUUUUGUGAUGAACACUAAACAUGAAACUGAGUAAGCUUAAGGAGAACUGUUACCUUGAGCUUGAUCUGAGUUGGCGAAGAAGAGGUGAGGAUACUUGGUACGCAUGUCUGCUGCUGCUUCCCAAGUAGCUCCCUCGAUAGACUGAUUUUGCCAAAGAACUUCAACAAGAGGGACUUCUUUGUACCUCAAUCUACGAGUCUGAUAGUUUGAGAUUUCGACUGGAAUCUCUUCAUAAGAGAGAGUGUUCUAAAAACCAAUGCUCUGAAUAGGGACUACAACUGAUGGGUCACCUAUGCACUUCUUGGGCAAAGAUACAUGAAAGACCGGAUAAACUGAGGCUAGAUCUGAAAGCAAGUCGAGCUCAUAAGCUACCUUGCCGAAUCGACUGAGAAUCUUGAAGNNNNNNNNNNNNNNNNNNNNNNNNNNNNNNNNNNNNNNNNNNAUAGAUAUAGUCACCAUAUCAAACUUGAGAUAUUUUCUACGGACAUCUGUAUAAGACUUCUAUCGGCUCUGAGCUUCCCGGAGUCUUUCUCUGAUCAACUAGACUUUUUCUAAUACGUCGAAUACUAAAUCAGGCCAUAUUACUAAGGCCUCACUAACUUUGAACCAACCAAUUAGAGAUCUACAUCUCCUACCAUAGAGAGCUUCAAAUCUAGCCAUCCGAAUACUAGAAUGAUAGCUGUUGUUGUAUACAAACUCAAUCAAAGGUAAGUGGUCUUCCUAACAUCCCUUGAAAUUGAUUGCACACGCCCUUAGCAUAUCUUCUAACGUCUGAAUGGUCCUUUAUUCUUGACCAUCUGUCUAAGGAUUAAAGGUUAUACUGAGAUAAACUUAGGUACCAAGAACCUUUAGGAAUGCUUUCCAGAAAUGAGAGGUGAAUUGGGUACCUCUGUCAGAGACAAUAGAUAGCGGAACACCGUACAAUCUGACCAACUCCUUGAUGUAGAGUUUGGUGUAAUCCUCAGCUGAAUAAGAGGUAUGAACUAGAAAGAAAUAAGCUGAUUUACUCAUUCUAUCUACAAUGGCCCAGACUGAAUCAUGUUGACGACGAGUUCGAGGAAAACCCAUCACAAAAUCCAUGUUCACAACUUUCCACUUCCAAGUAGGAAUAAUUAACUCCUGCAUGGAGCCAUUAGGCUUCUGAUGCUCUAUCUUAACUUGCUGACAUGUAGAACACUUAGCCACAAACUCUGCAAUGUCUCUCUUCAUCCCACUCUACUAAUAGAUUUUCUAGAAGUUGUGAUACAUCUUUAUGGCCCCUGGAUGAAUAGAGUAGCGUGCACAAUGCGCUUCUACAAGAAUUCGCUGCCUUAAGUCUGCUAUGCCUGAAACACAGAGACGACCCUGACAACGCAAAACACCAUCUCCCCCUUAGGAGAAAACCUCUACUUUCUGAUUCUGAACUAACUCUUUCAACUUAACAAGGUUGGGAUCUCUAUCUUGCUUUUCUUUCACCUCAGAAACUAGAGAUGACUGAACUACUCUGAACCCAUAUAUCACCCUCAUCUGUAUCGACUAAGCGAAUGCCUAGUUUGGCAAGCUAAUGGACCUCCUGAGCUAACUUCUUCUUACUAUCCUUAACAUGAGAAACACUGCCCAUGAAUAGUCUACAGAGAGCGUCGGCCACUACGUUGGCCUUGCCAGGUAAUAGAGGACACAAAUGUUGAAAUCUUUUAAGAGCUCUAACCACCUUCUCUGAUGAAGAUUGAGAUCUUUCUGAGAAAAGACAUACUGAAGACUCUUAUGAUCUGUGAACAUAUCUACAUGAACACCGUAUAGAUAAAUGCCUCCAAAUCUUUAAGGCAAAUACUACGGCUACUAACUCAUGAUCAUGAGUAGGGUAAUUCUUCUCAUGGGGCUUAAUCUGUCUAGAGGCAUAGGCUAUGUCCUUAUCAUGUUGCAUGAGGACACAACCCAAACCUACUCUGGAUGCAUCACAAUACACUAUGAACCCAUCUGGACCAUCUGGAAGAGCUAAAAUUAGAGCUGAGGUAAGUCGAGUCUUUAACUUCUGAAAACUCUUCUCGUAAUGAUCUGACCACUAAAACUUAACUUUCUUCUGAGUCAAUCUGGACAUAGGGGAUGUAAUAGAAGAAAAUUCCUCAUUAAACCAUCUAUAAUAGCCAGCCAAACCCUAGAAACUGCUAAUAUCUGAUGGAGAGAUAGGUCUGGGCUAGUUUCUUACUGCUUUGGUCUUUUGAGGAUCAACUCUAGUGCCAUCACCGAAAAUUAUGUGACCAAGGAAUGCUACUGACCUUAACCAAAAUUUGCACUUACUAAAUUUGGUGAAUAGCUGAUGAUCUCUGAGAGUCUGAAGUACUAUCUUGAGAUGGUCUGCAUGAUCACGCUCAUUGUGGGAAUAGACCAGAAUAUCAUCUAUGAAGACUAUGACAAACAUGUCCAAGUACAGCUUGAACACAUAGUUCAUCAAGUCCAUGAAAGCAGCUGGGGCGUUGGUAAGAAAAAAUAACAUGACUAGAAAUUCAAAGUGACCAUACCGAGUUUGGAAUGCUAUUUUUACAAUGUCACAUUCCCUAACUCUAAGAUGAUGAUGGCCGAAUCUGAGAUCUAUCUUAGAUAAAUAACUGGCACCCUAAAGUUGGUCAAACAAUUCAUUGAUUCUGUAAAGAGGAUACUUGUUCUUGACUGUGACCUUAUUAAGUUAGCAGUAGUCUAUACACAUUCUAAGAGAACUGUGUUUCUUGAACACUAAUAAUACUGGAGCGCCCCGCGAGGAAACGCUGGGCCUGAUGAAUCCCUUAUCUAAGAGAUCCUUCAAUUAUUCUUUCAGUUCUCUGAGUUUUGUUGGUGCCAUUCUGUAUGAUGAAAUAGAGAUAGCCUGAGUAUUUGGAAGAAGAUCAAUGCCAAAGUCUAUUUCUCUUUCGGGAGGAAUUCCUGGAAAAUCUUUGGGAAAGACAUCCGAAUAUUCAUUCACUACUGGGACUAAUUCAAGGCUGGGAGUUUUGGAACUAGUGUCCUUAACUUAAAUAAGAUGAUAGACACAUCCUUUAGAUAUCAUUUUCAUUGCUCAAAGGUAUAAAACAAGCUAACCCCUAAAAGCGAAUAUACUACCCUUCCACUCAAGGACGGGUUCAUUUGGGAACUAAAACUGGAUUAUUCUAUUUCUGCAGUCAACUGUGGCAUAGCAGUAAUGAAGCCAAUCCAUGCCGAGAAUUACAUCAAAAUCAGUCAUCUCUAAUUCAACUAAGUCUGCUGAAGUGACUUUCCAAAAUAUCAUAAUCGGGCAGUUCCUGUAUACCCACCAGGCUAUAAUAGUUUUACCCACUGGGUAGAGACUGAAAAGGGCUCUGCUAGGAUUUUGGGACUGAUUUUGAAAUCGCCUGUUAUAUAGGGAGUAACAAAUGACAAAAAGCUCCUGGAUCUAACAAAGUGUAAAUAUGCACAUGAAAGAUUUGUAAUGUACCAGUAACUACAUCAGGAGAAUUAUCCUGAUCUUAUCGGGACUGAAGAGCAUAAAGACGAUUUGGGCUUUGCCUACUAGUAGCACUGGAGGUGGUACCCUGCUGAUUUGGGUGAUCGAACUAAUUUGAGGAGCAAUUCUGUUGGCCCUAAGGACCUGGAUGAGGAUAGUCUCUAACUCUGAAACAAAUACCACUGCCAGCUCUGCAAAUACCCUGAUAGUAUUUGCCAUAAAUAUGGCAAAGAGGAUAGGUGCGGGUACUGAUAACACUGCCCUGGGACUUAGAGCCUAGCGCUCUAUCUUUGUUACCCUCUCUAAACUUAGGAACUGGAGAACUAGCUGAAGAAGGAGCUGGAACUGAUGACUUAGGAUGAAACUGAGAAUGGUUUCCUCCUUCUGACUUAGGAUGAGCAAAGUUGAAACUACCUGUCUUCGCUCUCUUAUUCUACCUCUCCCUCAUCUUAAUCAUUUGCCCCAGAAUCUUCUAAGCAUGAGUCAUAAGCCUGGCUAAAGUCAUGUCACUAUUCAUCAUGGCGGAUCUACACUUAUUAACCAUGCUAUCAUUCACCCCUGAAACCAACUUACUCAUUCUUGCCCUGCUAUCUGUAACCACAUAAGGGGCAUAUCUAGCUAAUUGAGUAAACUUAAGAGAACGCUCUUUCACUAUCAUAUUACCCUGCCUGAGGUUGAUGAAUUCUAACACCUUAGCUUCCCUAAGCUCUAGGGGGAAGAAUCUACCGAGGAAAGAAGAAGCAAACUCCUCCCACUCAACUAGCCCUGCAUCAUCUGUCCUCUCUAACUUCCACUACUUGAACCAAGUGUGAGUGAUAUCCUACAACUGAUAUGCAUCUAGCUCAGCACUAUUAACAGCAUUCACCCCUAUGAUAUCUGUCACCUUCUGCACCUGAUCUAGGAAUUCCUGAGGGUCCUCAUCUAUCUUAGACUCGAGAAAAGAUGGAGGAUUUAUUUGGGUGAAAUCUCGAAUCCUGGUUGUAGCUGAAUUGGCCACUAGAUUGGUUGGAACGACAGUUGGUCAUUCAUUCUGAGCAGCAACUGAGUUAGCAAGAGUAGUGAAUGUAGCUCAAAACUCUACAUGAGAAACAUGAUUGCCUAAAGGAUCUUCGGGCUAGGGGCUGACUGAUUUCCGUUUCUUCUUUUAGCAGGCAUUUUCUAGAAGAAAGGGAGAAAUAGAUUAGACUGAGAGAUGACUUGAGAUUAUGCUCACUGGCAUGACAUGAAUACUGAAAUAGGGGAAACUAUUCCUAAAACAUCUUAUAGCCUCUUGUACAUAAAUGUGGCACGCAACACACCCAUGUACAAGACUCUACUAGAUAUGUCUUUCAGACUUUCUAGGACUCUAUUGAACUUUAGGCUCUGAUACCAAGUUUGUAACACCCCGAUUUGCUGAACCAAAAUUCUACACGGUGCUCAUGACCCUGUAGCACCACAAGCUAACCUAUGAUUGAUAUCCGUACAUAUAUACUACAUAAUAUAACAUGAUAAUGUGGAAGCAUGCACUAAAAGGCCAUAAGGUUCAAUAUUGAACAUAACAUGGAUGAGAUAACAUCUGUGGGGUAAUACAAUACCCAAAACAAAACUGUAAACACUAAAGUCUGAAAUAUAAUAGCCAGCAUCUAGUCUUAAAGCCUCUACUGACUGAAUAAUCUGAAUAAGGAGUUCAUGGGACAUGUCCCCAACUAACUCCAACUAAUAACAAAUCAUUGAAAUAGUGGAGAAAUAAUCAUGUCCUCGAAGGAUGAGGACUCACUUCUAUUCUGACUACUGGGAUUGGAAUCUACUGCUGAUUUGGAACUCGUGUCUCUAAACCUAUAGUAUAAGACACCAUAGCGCAAAUAUGUCAGUACUUUGAAUGUACUGGUAUGCAUGUGGGGUAGGCUGAAUACAUGGGGCUUAUAUGCAUGAACAAUACUGGCUAACUAACUAAUAUGAAUGUGAGAAUACAUGCAUGCAUACAUAGUAACUAUAUCUAAAAUCGUGAUAACAUGAGUACUGAAUCUGAAUGCUAAUAACAUGACAUUCUGAUAACUGAUAUAACUGAUAACAUGAGUGACUAUAUCUGACAGUUUUGAAUCUGGUGGAACUAUCUGAGUUUCGUACUGUGUCAUAGUGGAUUGUAUCUGACAGCUCUGAAUUCUAAAAAACUAUCUGAGUUCUUUUACUGAGGCUGAUACUGAGACUGUGGGGGUAGUUAUCUAACCGACAUGCCUCAAAUGAUGCAUUAUAGCUGAAUUGGGGUCCAAUCUAUAUCCUGAUUAGAAGGGUGUUAAUACCGCGCCGAUGGUAAUGACAACACGUGAGUGACCCUAAUAUAACAGGUAACUCUAGUAAGAACGGUGGGAACCCUCAUAUAGCAGGCUAAGCUACCUCAUCUACCCUCAUAUAGCAGGCUAUGAUGUCUCAACCUCUGUUGGCUACAUAGUUCUAAAUGCAAGGAUUGCUUCUAAGAAUCACACCCUCAUAUAACAGGUGAGUUCCCAUCCUUGGGUUCAUUCGGUGCUAAUUUCUACUCCUAUCUGAAUAAACACUGAACAUAAUUUACUGAACUAAACAUAGACUGAGUUACUGAAUUCUGUUGAUUGACGGAAUAUUACUGAUAUUUGACAACUGACUGAGUUCAUGAGAUCAUAGAGAUUUCCUGAGUCAUAAGACUGUCUAAAGUCUAAGGAUUCAUAGCUUGACUGAGAGUAUCGUGGAAACAUGACAUGGCUCUAAGCACACUGCUAAUAUUUCGGGUACAAGUACCCCCAGGACUCGAUGGAAGAAAACUGACCAAGCAUAACUUACUUGAAAAUGUAACUAACAUCUUAAUCCAUAAUACAUUUAUAGAAACAUUCCAUCAAAACAUGUGAUAGGCAUAACGUGUACAUACAUGGGUAUGUUAUGAUAUCAUACUAGUUGGGCAUUGUUCCUUCAUCUAGGCAUUUAAUCAAAUACAUGGUAGGCAUAGCACAUUUAGACAAUAUUAUACGAUAAUUAAUCAUCAUGAUUCAUCUCUAAUUUCAUCAUCCUAGGGUUUAUUCAUAGGUUCACAUGAAUAUACAUAUAUACAAAUCAAUUCCAUAUAAAAUUUAUCACCCAACAUGGAUUUGAAUUUAAUUGAUCAUUCUCAACAUAAACAAAACUAACCCAACAUGAAAUUCAUAAAAAAUCCAUAAACUUAAUCUUAGAAAAGAGACUCUUGGGCUUCAUGGAUGAAAGGAGUCCAUGAAUGAACACUACGCAUACCUUAGUUCGUGAUUUCAUGAAGAUUGACGGAGAAACUUUCUUGGAAUUGGAUCUUCUAUGAAAACCCUAGCUUGUUCUUAAGAGGUUUUUGAGAGAAGAGAGUGUAUUUUAGGUGAAGAGUAGCUGAAUCAUGUAUUAAAGGGCUAAAAUAGGGGUGGGAAGUUGACCCUUUUAACCUUGGACGCGUCAUUUAAUUUCAGUAAAAUUUUCCUAAACUGAACCCCUGGUGCGAUGCGGCUAUCGUGCCAUGUCACUGCAAUUUGACAAUUGAGAAACUGAGGGAUGGAGCGACGCGGAUCCAUCAUGUUGCUCCUUCUUUUGUGACCUGGAACUUUGGCAUGACGCGGAGGAAAUCGCGCUAAGACACUAAAAAGGGACAAUACUGAAUUUGGGCCCUAGCGCGACGCGCCAUAAUCGCGGACCCAUACUAGAAUUUUUGAAAUGCCAUUUCCUCUUGUGGCGUGGCGCGCCACUGACUAAUAUGGCAUUGUUUUAUGACGGGAACUUAAAAUAGUCAUAACUUCUGACUCGGUUAUCAAAUUUGGGCCAAUCGUAUAUUGAUGGAAAGCUUAUUGAAUUUCCCACAUGACAAAACGUGAAAAUCUUGAAAAUUCCUCAUGGAAUAACCAUCAUUCAAUUUAGAAGCUAAUACUAAACAUUCUUGAGAUGAAAUUUACUAGGAAAAGUAUAGGGUAUUACAGAGAUUUUCCAACUACAAGCAACUUUCUCGACACCAACCCAAUACUCAAUGUUCUCAUUAUCCAAUCUUCAGUGUUCAAGAGACAUAUCAUGCUCAACCUCCACCAUAAAGAUAUCAAAAUAGUUCUCUUCGUGCCAAUCAUGAAAGAAAGACUCCUAAAAUUUUCACGUCAUUGGUGGAAUCUCUUACUCGGCUUCUUGAAAGGCUGAAAGAUGCAAAACUACUUCAAUCAAUAGAAGCAAAACCUGUGAACACUUAUAUUAAUUGGUAUGAUCCAAGUAAGCGAUGUUCUUACCACUCUGGAGUUGUUGGAUGUGAUAUAGAGAAAUGUAUCACUCUCAAGCACAAAAUUCAGGACCUGAUUGACAACAAGGUGAUAACGCUUGAAGAAGCUCCAGCUAAUUUUGACAAAAACCCAUUGCCCAAUCACAAGAAGUAGUAAUUGAAAUUAUCAAUUUCUCUUAAAAAGAUGCACUUUUGGUGUCCUUCUAUCCUGCAUUUAAAAGUUAGCAUUUCUUUUCUUUGUAUUCGUACUUUCUCAUUUUAUUUCCUUGUAAUCGCGUUCUAUUGCUUAUUUUCUUGUAAUCGCACUUUAUAAUUUGAUUUCCUUAUAAUUGCAUCCUUGUAGUUAUAAUGAACUACGUUCGACCUGAUUUCUCUUGUGGAAUAUGUAGACGACCUGUAUUGGCUUCGAUCACGUUGUCAAAAGUUUAAAAUAUCCCUUUUAUUUUGUAUGAACUAUGUUUGAUCUGAAUUCUCAAGAAAGGGAUAUGUAGGCGGCCUAUUCAGCUUCGGUCAGCCCCAUAGAAGAUUUAUCUUCUCAUUUUAUGUUAGAACUAGCUUUCCUAUCUCAAUGAAAUGUGUAGGCGCUACGCUGACGCAGUCAUAUUUCUUGUAAAAGUUUCAUAGAAAUUAUGACAAAUUUUUUAGAAGAUCUCAAAAUUCAUCAGAAGAAUCUUUCACUAUAUUGAGUGAAAAUGAUAUUGAAGCAUGUAACUGGGGCAGAAAUUCUUAAGAAGAUCUCAAAAAUUUCACAAAACUUAAUAUUUGCUACGAAGUUGAAAAUUAGACGUUGCUAAAGCUGUGAUCGGCACAUAACAUUUGAAGUUCGCUAUGCUUAAAGUACUCUACGUCAGAAACGGUUCAAGUAUUUUGCAUUUUAGACUAGGGCAGAAUUUUUGAGAAGAUCUCAAAAAUUCCAUACUCAUAGAUGUUGCAAGUUAUAAAAAAGUUUGGGAAUUAUAUGUUAUAGACCGAGGAAGAAUUUUUUAGGAGGAUCUUAAAAACUUCCACAAAAGUUGUACCUCAAGAUCAGAAAAAUUUGCAAAUCAAUGAUCGACAAGGUGCAUCAGGGGAGCAGGACAAUACCAACACAGUUAGUCUCUCAAAACUAAAAAAUUUUCUUUGAAUGCAGGAAUAGUAAAGUCACAAAGCUGAUAACAUUAAGCAUGACACAAGACAUUAUCAGACCCAAUGUGACCCUGCCAUAAUAAUCCAGACAACUUCUCCCUCUAUUUUCCUCUUGAUUUAUGUUUCUAUUACUUUGUUAUGAUCUCUAACACUUUCUUUGAUUUUAUAGGGAAAUGAUCAGUCAUAAAGAUGAAGACGUGGAGAUUAUCCAAACUACUUAUCAUGAGUCAAACAACUUCAUCUUUAUCAUUUCGGACUUGGUUAUAACAAAUUAUUCCAUUAUUAAUGAGUGUUGUUCAAGUUGUACAGGUGACAUUAUGCAGGAUCACCUAUACGAAGUAAUGCAAAAGUAUCUUCUCAAAGUUUGAGGAUUCAAUCCAGAAUCUCAGAACAUGCGCAAGUCCUUUGAAGGACUCCUGAUUCAACGGACGAAGUUCAUCACAUUGGGUUAUCACCCCAUUCAAAGUGACACGUUAUAUUCAAUAUUGGUCGUCCACCUUUCGAUGAGAUAUGCUGGGUCAUCCCCCGUUCAAGUGGCACAUUACAUUUAACAUUGGUUGUCUGCCUUUUAAUGAGACAUGUUGAGUCUUCACCCCAUUCAAGUGACAUGUUAUAUUCAAUGUUGGUCGUCCGUCUUUCAUUGAGACACAUUGGGUCGUCACCCCGUUCAAGUGACAUGUUACAUCCAAUAUUGGUCGUCCUCCUAUCAAUGAGAUACAUUAGGUCGUCACCCCAUUCAAGUGACAUGUUAUUUUCAACAUAGGUCGUCCAUAUUUCAAUGAGACACAUUGGGUCUUUACCCCAUUCAAGUGACAUGUUAUAUUCAAGAUAGAUCGUCCAUCUUUUAAUGGGACACAUUGGGUCGUCACCACGUUCAAGUGACAUGUUAUAGUCUCAAAAUAGGUUGUCCGCCUUUCAAUGAGAUGUGUUGUGUCGUUACCCCAUUCAAGUGACAUGUUAUAUUCAUGAUGGGUCGCCUGCCCUUCAAUGAGACACAUUGGACCGUCACUCUAUUCAAAGUGGCAUGUUGCAUUUUAAAUGGGUCAUCCUCCCUUCAAUGAGACAUGUUGGGUCGUCACCCCGUUAAAGUGACAUGUUACAUUUAACAUUGGUCGUCCGUCUUUCAAUGAGAUACUUUGGGUCGUCACCUCAUUCAAGUGACAUGUUACAUUCAACAUUGGUCGUCCGCCUUUCAAUUAGAUACGUUGGGUCGUCACCCCAUUCAAGUGAUACAUUAUAUUUAAGAUGGGUCGUCCGCCCUUCAAUGAGACAUGUUGGACCAUCAAUCCAUUCAAAGUGGCAUGUUAUAUUAAAGAUGGGUCGUUCAUCCUUCAAUGAGACACGUUGGACCGACAAUCCUUUCAAAGUGGUAUAUUGUAUUUUAAAUGGGUCGUUCGCUCUUCAAUGAGACACAUUGGAUCAUCACUCCAUUCGAGGUGACAUUUUAGAUAAGUCAUUCACUUUUUAUCUAUGCAUGUUAGGUUGUCAACCCGUUCAAAGUGGCAUAAUAUUUUCAGAACAAGUCUGACUAUCUCUGCAUAGCAUGGUCAAACAGGUUUCCGCCAGUUUACGUUUAUGUAAUGCUACAUUUACAACUAACCAUUUGUUUGUGUAGUUGUCAAGAGCAUCCUAAAGGAUGAAAUUCUCAAAUCAAAACCAUAGGUGUGGACGACUCUAAAAAGGACGCAACACAACGUGAAACUUUUUCUUAGCAGCGAACUGGGACAUAGUCUGAAGAGGGAUUCAAACUCUUUGGACGUGAGCUAAAGGACGACUUUCACCACCAUCAAACCACACCCCUAUUAGAAGGCAUGUGGGUAUUUCAAGAUAUUUUUGUCUCGGUUUCACCUCUGGGGAAAAUUCUAAACUCACACCAGAGGUAAUCUUCCCCUUCUUUGAAAAUUAGGUGACAACAAUCCAAGAGCAUUGGAUAUUAUGUCCAUUUAGCUCUUGGUUGCGGGUAUAAGGGGCCCCACAUUUGUGAUUGAGAUAAAUGCAAGCCUCUUUUUCAUAACUCGAUAUAUUUGUCACUCAUCCCGAGCCAAAGAUCAAAAAAAUAAAAGACUAUCUUUUCUAUCGAUCGAGUCGAACUACAAGCAGUCUAAUUUCCUUAAUCAUUGGGAUAUGUAGGCUAAACUCUAUAUAGAAAACUCGAAUGCGUUCCAACCUUUCCCCCAAUCCUCUUUUUCCACAGCUUUUCGGUUUUACCAAAAUUUAAAACUCGAAAUAGCUUAUGAAUUCUUUGAAAAUCGUGUUUUAAAAUCAAGCGUUAUAAACUAUAAGUGGCCUGAAUUCUCAUGUAACCUAAGAUAUGUAGGAAACCCGAUUCUGGGGUCCAACCAUAACUCCGCAAAAACAAUCGUGCGAAAAUCAAUCUUUUUCGAGAGACAAAUUUGUGGUCGAACAAAAUUAGGGACGCCAAACUCCCUUUGCCUAGGGUUACUUGCAUCUACACUAACCAAAUGGAGGACAGUUGUUGACACCUAAUUUUUGUCCUCCACAUCUCAAAUUAAUUUUUUGAAUUUCUCAUAUUUUAAAUAGUUUUAAAAUAUUUAUUUUUAGUUAUUUUAAAAUAAAUUUCAACCCUACCUUUUGAAUUCAGGCAAAAUUGAUAUAUUUAGUGUUUAAUUAUAUAUGAUUAUAUAAUUAUCAGUUAAAGAAAAUACUUUAAAAUUUAUUCAGAGUCAAGAGCUUGAUUAAAUUACAAAUAUUCUACUUCUAUCGAUUGAAAAUAAGAAAUUGAUGACAUAAUUAGUUCCUUGAUUUUUAUUUAUUUAUUAUUAUUAUUAUUGAAAAAAGAUUAUGUUUCAUUAAAUAUUUAUUUUAAAAUUAUUUGAGAAAUUCGUUAAAAGAUAGUUUCAUCUCGACUUUAUCUGAAUUCUUUCAAUUAAGAUUAUUUCAUUAACAUAAAAUAACCUCUCAUUCCUUUUAAAUUGGGCCAACCCUUUCCACCAGCUCAAACCAACCUCCCUUUUAAUUUUAAUUUCAACAAAUACGAGGAAAUUGCAUGUCAUAGACCCAAAUAUGGGUGGCUUUAGAUGUUUGACCCCAAUAAGAAAUGUCUUUAAAAAAUAACCUUCCUUACUUUUUAAGUAUAGUACAAGUACCAUUUUACUCCUUUACACCUCAAAUAUAGUUUUAAAACUUUUCAUACUUAUUUGUCUCUCAAAUUUUAUUUUUUAUUUUUUCUUUAAUUUAUUAUUAUAUUUUUUUAUUAUUUUCACUUUAUUUCUUUAAUUUUAUUAUUUUCACUUUUCAUUUUUUUCCUUUAAUUUUAUUUCAUGUUUUAAUUCAUUUGUCUCAACCUUUAUUUUUUUCUCUUUUUUCUUUUUUCUCAAACAUUAUCUAUUUCUUUCUUUUUCCUUUUUUUUUUAAUUCAUUUGUCUUUAAUCUUUAUUUUUAUUUUCUUUUUUAUUUUUAUCAGUUCUUUUUUUUCCCUCAUUUUUCUCAAAUUUUAUUUUUAUUUUUUCCUCUCAUUUUUUAUUUUUUCAAUUUUUUUAAUUCUUCACUAUUUUCUUAAUCUUUAUUUUUAUCUUUCCUUUUUUUCUCUCACUCUUUUUUUUUUGUUAUUUCUCUAUUUUGUUUGAUAGUUUUUCUCUUUUUUUCCCUUAUUUUUUCAAACUUUAUUUUUAUUUUUCUUAAUUUUUUUAAUUCUUCGCUUUUUUCUUGAUCUUUAUGUUUUUUCUUUCCUUUUUUUAUCUCAAUCUUUUUUUAUUUCUCUAUUUUAUUUGAUCAUUUUUUUUUCUCAACUUCUAUUAUAUUUAACUAAUAAAUAAAAAAUUAGAUAAUCCGCAAAGGGAUCUUCUUUAUUUGACAUCAAAGCAAAUUUAAGGGCAUGAAUUGUUGUUACGAAGUUCUUUGAAAAUUCUUCAGAUAAGUCGUGUCUGUAAGGCGAGAGUUGUAGAAUAUCUCAAAAAUAAAGACAUAAUGUGGUAGUGUCAACUCUUGUUCAUGGGGUAUAAUUUAUUAUUUGAAAGUUCUUGAGCAAAGUCUUGCCUAUAAGGCAAGAGUUGUAGAACAUCCCAUAAAUGAUGACAUUACGGGGUAGUGCCAACUCUUGUGCAUGGGGCAUAAUUUAUUAUUUCAAAGUCCUUGAGCUAAGUCUUGCCUUUAAGGCAAGAGUUACAAAACAUUCCAUAAAUGAAGACAUAACGUGAUAGUUUCAAUUCUUACCCCUGGGGCAUAAUUUGUAGUUUGAAAGUCUUUGAGCUAAGUCUUGCCUCUAAGGCAAAAGUUGUAGAACAUCUCAUAAAUGAAGACAUAAUGUGGCAGUGUCAACUCUUACCCAUGGGGCAUAAGUCAUAGUUUGAAAGUCCUUGAGCUAAGUCUUGCCUCUAAGGUAAUAGUUGUAGAAUAUCUCAUAAAUAAAAACAUAACGUGGUAGAGUCAACGCUUGCCCAUAGGACACAAUUUGUAGUUUGAAAGUCCUUGAGUUAAUUAAGUCUUGCCUCUAAGGAAAUAGUUGUAGAACAUCUCAUAAAUAAAAAUAUGACGUGGUAAAGUCAACUCUUGCCCGUGCGGCAUAAUUUAUAGUUUGAAAGUUCUUGAGCCAAGUCUUGCAUUUAAGGCAAUAGUUGUAGAAUAUCUCAUAAAUGAAAAUAUAAUAUGGUAGAGUUAACUCUUGCCCGUGGAGCAUAAUUUGCAGUUUGAAAAUCCUUAAGUCAAAUCUUGCCUCUAAGGCAAUAGUUGUAGAACAUCUUAUAAAUGAAAACAUAAUGUGGUUGAGUCAACUCUUGCCCAUGGGGUAUAAUUUGUAGUUUGAAAGUCCUUGAGCCAAGUUUUGCCUCUAAGGCAAUAGUUGUAGAACAUCUCAUAAAUGAAAAUAUAACGUGGUACAGUUAACUCUUGACCGUGGGGCAUAAUUUGUAGUUUGAAAGUCCUUGAGCCAAGUCUUGCCUCUAAGGCAAUAGUUGUAAAACUUCUCAUAAAUGAAAAUAUAACAUGGUAGAGUUAACUCUUGCCCGUGAGGAAUAAUUUAUAGUUUGAAAGUCCUUGAGUCAAGUCUUGCCUCUAAGGCAAUAAUUGUAGAAUAUCUCAUAAAUGAAAACAUAAUAUUGUAGAGUCAACACUUGCCUGUAGGACAUAAUUUGUAGUUUGAAAGUACUUGAGUUAAGUCUUGCAUCUAAGGCAAUAGUUGUAGAACAUCUCAUAAAUAAAAAUAUAAUAUGGUAGAGUCAACUCUUGCCCGUGGGGCAUAAUUUGUUGUUUGAAAGUCCUUGAGUUAAGUCUUGUCUCUAAGGCAAUAAUUGUAGAACAUUUCAUAAAUAAAAAUAUAACGUGGUAGAAUCAACUCUUGCCCGUGGGGCAUAAUUUAUUGUUUGAAAGUCCUUAAGCUAAGUCUUGCCUAGAACAUCUCAUAAAUGAAAACACAACGUGAUAGAGUCAACUCUUGCCCGUAGGGCGUAAUUUGUAGUUUGAAAGUCCUUGAGCUAAUUAAGUCUUGCCUCUAAGGCAAUAGUUGUAGAACAUCUUAUAAAUGAAAACAUAACAUGGUAGAAUCAACUCUUGCCGGUGAGGCAUAAUAUUUUGUUUGAAAGUCCUUGAGCCAAGUCUUGCCUCUAAGGCAAUAGUUGUAGAACAUCUUAUAAAUGAAAACAUAACAUGGUAGAAUCAACUCUUGCCGGUGAGGCAUAAUAUUUUGUUUGAAAGUCCUUGAGCCAAGUCUUGCCUCUAAGGCAAUAGUUGUAGAACAACUCAUAAAUGAAAACAUAAUGUGGUAGAGUCAACUUUUGCCCAUGCAGUAUAAUUUAUUGUUUGAAAGUCUCUAUGCUAAGUCUUUCCUCUAAGGUAAGAGUUAUAAAAUAUCUCAUAAAUCUAAAUACAAUAUGGUAAUAUCAACUCUUGCCCAUGAAACAUAACUUGUUGUUUGAAAGUAAUAAGUCUUGCCUCUACAAUGUAGUAGUGUCAACUCUUGCCCAUGAAACGUAGUUGAUUGUUUGAAAGUCGUAAGUCUUGCCUUUAUAAUGUGAUAGUGUCAACUCUUGCUCAAGAGAUGUAACUUGAAUGGAAGAAAUUGAAGAAAAAAACAAAAAUAAUAAAAAUUGCAAAAAAGAAGAAAAUGAAGAAAAAUAUUAAAAAAUAAAAAUCAAAGAAAAUGUAGAAGCUGAGAGAGAACAGAAAAAAAUAAAGGUCGAUAAAAAAAGAAAGAUAAAAUAAAAAUAAAGGUCGAGAAAAAUUUAAAAAGAAAAAAAAAUCAGAGAAAAAUAAAAAAAAAUCUUUUUAUAGAAGUAGACGUUAAAAGGUGUAAAGAAAAAAACUACGGGUUGAGAAAAAAAUAAAAAGAACAAAAACAAAAGGAAAGAAAAAAUAAAAAAGAAAAAAGAAAAAAGAAAAAAGAAAAAAGAAAAAAGAAAAAAGAAAAAAAAAAGAAAAAAGAAAAAAGAAAAAAAAAGAAAUUGAGAGGAAAAAAGGAAAAAAAAAUAAGGAUUAAGAAAAUUAAAAAGAAAAAAUAAAAAUCAAAGUAAAAUUAAAAAGAGAGAAAAAUAAAAGUUUAAAGAUAUAAAUAUGGAGUUGUUAUUCAAUAUGAGGAUCAUUUAUGUAAUGUGCUUCAUUAAUCAGGGAAAAUUUUAUCCAAAAAGAUAUUAGUUAAUAGGUAAAGGUUAUUUUAAGAAAACUUUUUUAUUUGGGGUUAAAAUUUGAAAGUCACCCUAAUUUGAAUCUAUUUCUUAGAUUCACCCAACAAAUACCAGUUUAUCCCAGGCCCACACCCAGUCGGCCCAAUUCCCUCAAUCCCUUACCCUUCAACAAACAACCACAGCCCAUUCCAACAAUCGGUCCACCAUGACCCCAAAACUGACCCGGCCCAACCCAGAUAUAUUUCUCUUUCNNNNNNNNNNNNNNNNNNNNNNNNNNNNNNNNNNNNNCAGCAACAGCAACAGCAACGUACAUCGACAACACCAUCUCAAAACAGCGUACAGCUUCAACAACGUUCAUUCUCAACCAGUCAACAACGGGUAUGAAUUUGAUUUUCAGUCCAUCUUUGGCAUAAAAUCAGAGGUCUUUCAUCAUUCUCAGUCUUUGAUUCACCAAUUUGAGCAAAUAAUCAAUGUCCAACGGCUCUUUUCUUUGUCUUGCCUGUGGAUAUCAAAUUCCCCAAGGAAAUCAAUUCAAAGUCCCAUUUUCAAAUCCGAAACCCUAGACUUUUCCCCCUUCUUUUCCUGUAUAAAUAGUGUUUGAGGGAUAAGGGUUGAGGAAGAGUAUAUUUGGGGAAAAAUUGGAGGUUUUGGAGGCGCGUGCUUCUAAUCUCACUAACCAAAAUUCUCGACGAAUACGCUUCAAAAAUUAGAUUCCGGUGAAGUUGUCGAACUCCGACAAGGAUAGUCGGAACUCCGGUGGUGAGAAUCCGUUAGAUUAAGGCUUGUUGUCCUAGUUCCUGCCCCGGAAAAUGUAAAAAAUCACCAUCGAUCAUUUGAGUUACACUAAGUGUAUGUGGUCAUUUGCCACUGUUUCGCCCCUUUAUUGUGCUUAUCGCUUCUCAAUUCUUAAAUAAUGAACUUCAGAAACAUUAGUUAAGUAAAAUCAUGCCAAGACUUCAGGUGUAAUAAAUUAUUUAUUUUUUAAUUUUUUUUUUGGAUUUGUCUAGUCUUCCUGCUUGUGUGGUUGUUUUGGAUUAUUUCUUUAGGAUAAAUUACUUAAUGAAUCUCUCGUGAAGUAUUGUUUAAAGAAUCUGUUAGAAAUUCGACUAAAGGAAAUUUGGAUUGAAGUUUGUAGCUUUGACACCUUAAGGGCUUCUAGAUAUCAUCUUAGUCAAUAGGGAUCCGAUUUUUGGUGUUAGAUCUCGUUAUUGUGGUAUUUCUUUUAAAUUCAAGUAUAUUUUUAGUUUGAUGGUGGACUUGCUGUUGUAGCUCUAGGUCCAUUUUCUUAUUUUUGUUGAAAUAGGAUCAGUAAGACCUACCCUAAGAUACACCAAAAUCAUUUAUCUUUUACCCUUUUUGCUUUUUCUUUGUGAAACAUAAACUCUCGAAUAGGUUGUACUCUGUAAAUGUGUCACUGCUUUUAAUAAGCAAUUUGAAGUUUGUCAGCGCUCCCAUCUCGAACAAUAGCAAGUACUCUUGUUGUCAUGUAUUUUUUUUUAUAUAUUUAUGAAUAAGAUGUUGCAUAUCUGAUGUCUUUGAGGGAAAAAUUCGGGAGGAGGAACAUUCUCAAUCAAUCAUUUUCUCUUGAAGACAAAAGUGUGAUACUAUUUUGCUUUACUCCACUUGCUUACGUGAAAUCAUUAAAUCACUUGGUUUUUUUUUUUUUUGGUUUUUCUCCAAAUAUGUACCUAGUCAAUAGCAUGUUCUUCAAUUUAAUACUAUUUAAACUUAUUCCUCUCCCAAAGUUCAUGAACAGCACCAUACAUACAUAUGUUGAUCCCCUAGAAUCAUGCAUAUAUUUACUUAAAAUCCGACAGAUGUGCAUUUUGUUGUUCUUAGUUGCUCAUUAUGUUGCAUGUCUCCUUGUCUAUUAAAAAUGGAUUAAAUCAUGUUUGAAUUUGGGUCUUGGUUGGCUAUAGUUUACAUUCCCUUGUCCGCUGUGUUGUUAGAUUGUUCACUGUGUUGUUAGAUUAAAAGCAUGAAGUCCAUGUAUACCAAGGGAUAUUCUUUUCUAUGGGUUGUGUUAUGUUAAGUUUGGAAUUUUGCUUGCAUUAUUUUCUUCCUUUAAAAUGAUUGGUCGUUGUGUGUUGUUAUACAUGUAUAUUUAGUUUGUGCACUUCACUAAUCCUUUUCUUUUUCUUUGCACGCUCCUUCGCCGAGUUCAAUGGACUCCCCUCUUGCAUUUUCAUCGAAUCCAACUCCACGCCAAGUCCCAAACGGACUGAUACAGUGCUGGUAUACAGCAGAUAUAGACCAGAUAUACAAAAACGCUGGAAGAAAAGGGGCUGAUAUACACACAAUAUACACUUCAGAAAAUGGACUGAAGUCCACAAUUCCAAGCCCAAAAAUGGGCAGCUUUGUUUGUUGUCAUCUAUAUUGCAUGACGAUGUUGUCAUCUAUUAACGCCUUAUGUUAUAUUUCUAUUCCGUUUAGAUUACUUAUUUUAUACAACAGUAUUGUAGAUGAUUCAAGUUUGUUUUUAUGCCUUGACUUAGUUAUAUUAUCUUGCAUUUUAUCAUACUUAUAUCAUGGUUUAGCUCACUGCUUGAUGAUGCCUACUGAGUAUCCAUUGUUUUGAUACUCAUACUAUACUUUUAUAUUUUUUGGUGUAGAUCUGAGUACUAGCUGUCACCAUUGAUCGUUGAUCAUGCUGUAUUGAUUUUUCUAUAGAUAGGGUGAGCUCUUAGAGUCGGAAUCACCUAUUUCCCUUUAUCUUGAGAUACUUAGUCUUUUGUUAUCGAGAUAGUUGUUGUUGACUAUUCUAAGUCUUUAUGUUGGAAUACUAUUAGAUUUAGAUGCUCUUGUACUAGCUCUAUCAGGUCGUGGGGUGGUAUCUUGUAUUUACUAUUUUAUCUGUUAGAAUUUUUUGCUUAUUUAUAAGUGUGUUAUUCAUUUUCGCCUAUGAUAGUGCAUUUUUCAUCAAGUUUAACCCAUUGCAUUUGGCUCUGGGAUUUGGUUUGUCUUACUUACUAUCAGGAAAGAGUAGGUGCCAUUAUGACUCAUAAAUUGGGUCACGACAAAUUGAUAUCAGACCCUAGGUAUCACCGGUAUCAUUGGUACUAGAGAAGGUGUUUAUAGAGUCCUGUGGAUCAGAACGAUGAUGUUCGUUUCCUAUCUCGAGAUUACCUAUAACACUCUACAUUUUUGGGUUAGAAUUCUAAUCGUCAUUCCUAUAUGUAUAAGCUCUAAUCUAAAUGAUUACCAUGUGAAUAUAAGUGUCAUGAUAAUUAUCCUAGUGUUAAGAGUGCUUAUGAGGUGAAAGAUGUUCAUAAGAAACACUUGGAGCAAAGUUGAGCUAAGAGCCUUUGAUUCGAUUAAAUUUUGGUAUUCAAUUCUACAAGGGCUAGAUUUGAA